GGAUUAUUAUUUGUUUUUAGAUGGUGUCAUCCAAAUGAUCCUGCAGCCUCUCUCCUCUGUAACUGUGCUUGUGUCGCCUGAAAAGAAACAAAGCGUCCAACUGAGAUCAAAACAGCAGCCGCGAACCAACGAGACGAAACGGUGAUGUCAUGCUUCCUGUGCGUCACUGUGCUGGCCGUCUAGCAUUCCGCUGUUUUCAUAUUGUAAAGUGUUUUUUAUCCCAGCAUAUGGCUUUAUUAUCAGCGCAUAGCCUGAAAAUAAUAAUGAUGCAUUACUGUACCUCCAGAGCAGGAACGCCAGCCCCCCUCCAAACAGCAGCAGGAGGAGGAGGACGGGACACAGGACGGCUGCUGUUGGCCCCCUGCCCUCUGUCCUGCAAGGCGCUGUCCGCCAGGAGAAAAACAACCAAACAUCAUCGCACAUGGCCGCCCUAAAAGGUCAAAAGUUCCUCAGAGGCAACUUUGUUAAAUCAGCAAACCAUAUGGAACGGCUCCGACUGACAGGAGGGAUCCUUAAAACAUCACGCCUCUAACCCCAACCGUGGGCUCGCCGUUUAGCAUCAGUGGUGUUUUCUUGAUCGCACUGUGACGACCCACAAAGGAAUCAACAUGUCUUAUUUCAGUUUGUGUGUCUGUGGACCCUUCAGACCCCCAAAUGUACGUAAACCCACACAAUGGUCAAAUUUACUAGUCUAGAGAUUCCACUUCUGAGAACACCGUAUUCCCUGUUGUUGUUGUUAAAGAACUGCUGACUGAUAAAGUGAGGACUCGUACCCGCGGUGUAGCUGGCGGCGCUGUGGCCCAGCUUGUUGCUGACCACGCAGGUGAAAUGGCCGCAGAAGGGCGUCCGGGUCACAAACAACGUGGUUCCGUCUCCGGAGACCCUCCCCACGGCAUCGGUGACGGCGACCCUCUCGUGGAACCAGCUGAAGCGCGGCUCCGUGCCCCACGCCUCGCCGCAAAGCAGCGAGGCGUGGGACACGUUGAUGCUGACCGACACGUG
ensembl:lncRNA